CCUACGGGAGGCAGCAGUGAGGAAUAUUGGUCAAUGGACGCAAGUCUGAACCAGCCAUGCCGCGUGCAGGAAGACUGCUCUAUGAGUUGUAAACUUCUUUUGUACGAGGGUAAACGCAGAUACGCGUAUCUUUCUGUAAGUAUCUUACGAAUAAGGAUCGUCUAACUCCGUGCCAGCAGCCGCGGUAAUACGGAGGAUCCAAGCGUUCUCCGGAUUUAUUGGGUUUAAAGGGUGCUUAGGCGGUAGGUUAAGUUAGUGGUGAAAGCCCGAGGCUCAACUGUGGAAUUGCAUUUGAUACUGUCCGGCUAGAGAGUAGUUGCGGUAGGCGGAAUGCAUGGUGUAGCGGUGAAAUGCUUAGAGAUCAUACAGAACACCGAUUGCGAAGGCAGCUUACCAAGCUACUACUGACGUUGAGGCACGAAAGCGUGGGGAGCAAACAGGAUUAGAUACCCGGGUAGUC
rnacentral:rRNA from 1 species